rnacentral:tRNA from 1 species
GCCCGGAUAGCUCAGUCGGUAGAGCAUCAGACUUUUAAUCUGAGGGUCAGGGUUCGAGUCCCUGUUCGGGCG